rnacentral:rRNA from 1 species
UACGUAGGGGGCGAGCGUUGUCCGAAGUUACUGGGCGUAAAGCGCGCGUAGGCGGGCUGUUAAGUCGGAAGUGAAAGGCUGGGGCUCAACCUCACUGCAGUGCUUCCGAUACUGGCAGUCUUGAGGGCGGUAGGGAGAGGUGGAAUGGCUGGUGUAGCGGUGAAAUGCGUAGAUAUCAGUCGGAACACCGGUGGCGAAGGCGGCCUCUUGGGCCGUUCCUGACGCUGAGGCGCGAAAGCCAGGGGAGCGAACGGG